rnacentral:rRNA from 1 species
GCCGCCGCGGUAACACCGGCGGCCCGAGUGGUGAUCGUGAUUAUUGGGUCUAAAGGGUCCGUAGCCGGUUGGUCAGUCCUCCGGGAAAUCUGAUAGCUCAACUAUUAGGCUUUCGGGGGAUACUGCCAGACUUGGAACCGGGAGAGGUAAGAGGUACUACAGGGGUAGGAGUGAAAUCUUGUAAUCCCUGUGGGACCACCUGUGGCGAAGGCGUCUUACCAGAACGGGUUCGACGGUGAGGGACGAAAGCUGGGGGCACGAACCGGAUUAGAUACCCGGGUAGUCCCAGCCGUAAACGAUGCUCGCUAGGUGUCAGGCAUGGCGCGACCGUGUCUGGUGCCGCAGGGAAGCCGUGAAGCGAGCCACCUGGGAAGUACGGCCGCAAGGCUGAAACUUAAAGGAAUUGGCGGGGGAGCACAACAACGGGUGGAGCCUGCGGUUUAAUUGGACUCAACGCCGGACAACUCACCGGGGGCGACAGCAAUAUGUAGGCCAAGCUGAAGACUUUGCCUGAAUCGCUGAGAAGAGGUGCAUGG